rnacentral:lncRNA from 1 species
GCCAUUUUCCCCCUUUCGGUUAGUCAGCUAGAGUCGAGCGGCUGCUGAGAGGCCUCGGUAUCUCUCUGCGUGUCUGGUGGUGGGGGAAGGGGGACGGCGCAGUUCCCUGCUCCCCCUGUCCAACCGCCCCCCUGUCUCUGGACAUCAGCCCACUGGGGUUAAUUGGCCACCACCAGGGCACGCUGCGCCUUCCUUCCUUGCACACCUCCGCGUCCAGCCCCGUGUGUCUGAGCCUUUGAAACAAGUUGCUGAUGUCCGGUUACACCAAAAGUGUGCCAGAUGA